GAUGAACGCUGGCGGCGUGCCUAAUACAUGCAAGUCGAGCGAACGGACGAGAAUCUUGCUUCUCUGAUGUUAGCGGCGGACGGGUGAGUAACACGUGGAUAACCUACCUAUAAGACUGGGAUAACUUCGUGAAACCGGAGCUAAUACCGGAUAAUAUUUUGAACCGCAUGGUUCAAAAGUUAAAGACGGUCUUGCUGUCACUUAUAGAUGUAUCCGCGCUGCAUUAGCUAGUUGGUAAGGUAACGGCUUACCAAGGCAACGAUGCAUAGCCGACCUGAGAGGGUGAUCGGCCACACUGGAACUGAGACACGGUCCAGACUCCUACGGGAGGCAGAAGUAGGGAAUCUUCCGAAAUGGGCGAAAGACUGAAGGAGCAACGCAGCGUGAGUGAUGAAGGUCUUCGGAUCGUAAAACUCUGUUAUUAGGGAAGAACAUAUGUGUAAGUAACUGUGCACAUCUUGACGGUACCUAAUCAGAAAGCAACGGCUAACUACGUG
rnacentral:rRNA from 1 species